rnacentral:rRNA from 1 species
GACGAACGCUGGCGGCGUGCUUAACACAUGCAAGUCGAACGGUGAUGCUCCAGCUUGCUGGAGUGGAUCAGUGGCGAACGGGUGAGUAACACGUGAGCAACCUGCCCCAGACUCUGGAAUAAGCGCUGGAAACGGCGGCUAAUACUGGAUACGAAACUGGCCCGCAUGGUCAUGGUUUGGAAAGUUUUUCGGUUUGGGAUGGGCUCGCGGCCUAUCAGCUUGUUGGUGAGGUAAUGGCUCACCAAGGCGACGACGGGUAGCCGGCCUGAGAGGGCGACCGGCCACACUGGGACUGAGACACGGCCCAGACUCCUACGGGAGGCAGCAGUGGGGAAUAUUGCACAAUGGGCGAAAGCCUGAUGCAGCGACGCCGCGUGAGGGAUGACGGCCUUCGGGUUGUAAACCUCUUUCAGCAGGGAAGAAGCGAAAGUGACGGUACCUGCAGAAGAAGCACCGGCUAACUACGUG